rnacentral:rRNA from 1 species
AUACGUAGGGGGCGAGCGUUGUCCGGAAUGAUUGGGCGUAAAGGGCGCGUAGGCGGCGCGGUAAGUCUGGAGUGAAAGUCCUGCUUUCAAGGUGGGAAUUGCUUUGGAUACUGCCGCGCUUGAGUGCAGGAGAGGUUAUCGGAAUUCCCGGUGUAGCGGUGAAAUGCGUAGAGAUCGGGAGGAACACCAGUGGCGAAGGCGGGUAACUGGACUGCAACUGACGCUGAGGCGCGAAAGUGUGGGGAGCAAACAGGAUUAGAUACCCUGGUAGUCCACACUGUAAACGAUGAAUGCUAGGUGUAAGAGGUAUCGACCCCUUUUGUGCCGGAGUUAACACAAUUAGCAUUCCGCCUGGGGAGUACGGCCGCAAGGUUGAAGCUCAAAGGAAUUGACGGGG